rnacentral:rRNA from 1 species
UAGGGAAUCUUCGGCAAUGGGGGGAACCCUGACCGAGCAACGCCGCGUGAGUGAAGAAGGUUUUCGGAUCGUAAAGCUCUGUUGUUAAGGAAGAACGAGUGUGAGAAUGGAAAGUUCAUGCUGUGACGGUACUUAACCAGAAAGGGACGGCUAACUACGUGCCAGCAGCCGCGGUAAUACGUAGGUCCCGAGCGUUGUCCGGAUUUAUUGGGCGUAAAGCGAGCGCAGGCGGUUAGAAAAGUCUGAAGUGAAAGGCAGUGGCGCAACCAUUGUAGGCUUUGGAAACUGUUUAACUGGAGUGCAGAAGGGGAGGGUGGAAUUCCAUGAGUAGCGGUGAAAUGAGUAGAUAUAUGGAGGAACACCGGUGGCGAAGGCGGCUCUCUGGUCUGUAACUGACGCUGAGGCUCGAAAGCGUGGGGAGCGAACAGG